rnacentral:rRNA from 1 species
CCUACGGGGGGCUGCAGUGGGGAAUAUUGGACAAUGGGCGAAAGCCUGAUCCAGCCAUGCCGCGUGUGUGAAGAAGGCCUUCGGGUUGUAAAGCACUUUCAGUGGGGAAGAAAGCCUUGGGGCUAAUACCCUCGAGGAAGGACAUCACCCACAGAAGAAGCACCGGCUAACUCCGUGCCAGCAGCCGCGGUAAUACGGAGGGUGCGAGCGUUAAUCGGAAUUACUGGGCGUAAAGCGCGCGUAGGCGGUCUGAUAAGCCGGUUGUGAAAGCCCCGGGCUCAACCUGGGAACGGCAUCCGGAACUGUCAGGCUAGAGUGCAGGAGAGGAAGGUAGAAUUCCCGGUGUAGCGGUGAAAUGCGUAGAGAUCGGGAGGAAUACCAGUGGCGAAGGCGGCCUUCUGGACUGACACUGACGCUGAGGUGCGAAAGCGUGGGUAGCAGACAGGAUUAGAUACCCGAGUAGUC